CAGCGCGGGGCAACCUGGCGGCGAGUGGCGAACGGGUGAGUAAUAUAUCGGAACGUACCCAGAAGUGGGGGAUAACGUAGCGAAAGUUACGCUAAUACCGCAUACGAUCUACGGAUGAAAGUGGGGGACCUUCGGGCCUCAUGCUUUUGGAGCGGCCGAUAUCUGAUUAGCUAGUUGGUGAGGUAAAGGCUCACCAAGGCGACGAUCAGUAGCUGGUCUGAGAGGACGACCAGCCACACUGGAACUGAGACACGGUCCAGACUCCUACGGGAGGCAGCAGUGGGGAAUUUUGGACAAUGGGCGCAAGCCUGAUCCAGCAAUGCCGCGUGAGUGAAGAAGGCCUUCGGGUUGUAAAGCUCUUUUGUCAGGGAAGAAACGGCUCCGGCUAAUAUCCGGGGCUAAUGACGGUACCUGAAGAAUAAGCACCGGCUAACUACGUGCCAGCAGCCGCGGUAAUACGUAGGGUGCAAGCGUUAAUCGGAAUUACUGGGCGUAAAGCGUGCGCAGGCGGUUUUGUAAGUCUGACGUGAAAUCCCCGGGCUCAACCUGGGAAUUGCGUUGGAGACUGCAAGGCUGGAGUCUGGCAGAGGGGGGUAGAAUUCCACGUGUAGCAGUGAAAUGCGUAGAGAUGUGGAGGAACACCGAUGGCGAAGGCAGCCCCCUGGGUCAAGACUGACGCUCAUGCACGAAGCGUGGGAGCAAACAGGAUUAGAUACCCUGGUAGUCCACGCCCUAAACGAUGUCUACUAGUUGUC
rnacentral:rRNA from 1 species